rnacentral:rRNA from 1 species
CGUACUAGAGUAUUUCUUUUCCCAUUUGGGCUAAACUGCAAGUCGAACGCCCCGCAAGGGAGUGGCAGACGGGUGAGUAACGCGUGGGAACAUACCCUUUCCUGCGGAAUAGCUCCGGGAAACUGGAAUUAAUACCGCAUACGCCCUACGGGGGAAAGAUUUAUCGGGGAAGGAUUGGCCCGCGUUGGAUUAGCUAGUUGGUGGGGUAAAGGCCUACCAAGGCGACGAUCCAUAGCUGGUCUGAGAGGAUGAUCAGCCACAUUGGGACUGAGACACGGCCCAAACUCCUACGGGAGGCAGCAGUGGGGAAUAUUGGACAAUGGGCGCAAGCCUGAUCCAGCCAUGCCGCGUGAGUGAUGAAGGCCUUAGGGUUGUAAAGCUCUUUCACCGAUGAAGAUAAUGACGGUAGUCGGAGAAGAAGCCCCGGCUAACUUCGUGCCAGCAGCCGCGGUAAUACGAAGGGGGCUAGCGUUGUUCGGAAUUACUGGGCGUAAAGCGCACGUAGGCGGAUAUUUAAGUCAGGGGUGAAAUCCCGCAGCUCAACUGCGGAACUGCCUUUGAUACUGGGUAUCUUGAGUAUGGAAGAGGUAAGUGGAAUUUCCGAGUGUAGAGGUGAAAUUCGUAGAUAUUCGGGAGGAACACCAGUGGCGAAGGCGGCUUACUGGUCCAUUACUGACGCUGAGGUGCGAAAGCGUGGGGAGCAAACAGGAUUAGAUACCCUGGUAGUCCACGCCGUAAACGAUGAAUGUUAGCCGUCGGGCAGUAUACUGUUCGGUGGCGCAGCUAACGCAUUAAACAUUCCGCCUGGGGAGUACGGGCCGCAAGGAUUAAACUCAAAAGGAAUUGUGCGGGGGCCCCGCACAAGGCGGGGGAGCAUUGUUGGUUUAUAUUCGAAGCUACCGCGCAAAACCUUACCAGCUUCUUGGACAUUCGGGGGUAUGGGGCCAUUGGAGGACGACUGUCCUUCUCAGUUUAGGUCUGGGCCCUAAGGACACAGGGUGGCUGGCAUGGCUUGUUCGUCCAGCCUCGGUGUCUUAGAGAUGUUGGGGUUAAAGUCCCGGCAACGAGGUGCAACCCUUCUGCCUUUAGUUUGCCAGCAUUUUAGUUGUGGUCACCUUUAAGGGGGAUUGUGCGGGUGGGAUAAAGCCCUGAGAGAGGAGAGGGGGGGGGAUAUACAGUCAU